rnacentral:tRNA from 1 species
AAGGUUUUAAGUUAAUUAAACUAAUAGCCUUCAAAGCUAUCAAUAAAGUCGCUUCUUUAAGCCUUA